AUACGUAGGUGACAAGCGUUAUCCGGAUUUACUGGGCGUAAAGGGCGUGUAGGCGGUCUUGCAAGUCAGAAGUGAAAUUCCUGAGCUCAACUCGGGCGCUGCUUCUGAAACUGCAGGACUUGAGUGCUGGAGGGGAUAGCGGAAUUCCUAGUGGAGCGGUAAAAUGCGCAGAUAUUAGGAAGAAUACCAGUGGCGAAGGCGACUUUCUGGACUUAUACUGACGCUGAGGAACGAAAGCGUGGGGAGCAAACAGGAUUAGAUACCCUGGUAGUCCACGCCGUAAACGAUGAGUGCUAGGUGUCGGGUGUCAAAGCUCGGUGCCGGAGCUAACGCAUUAAGCACUCCGCCUGGGGAGUACGGACGCAAGGAUGAAACUCAAAGGAAUUGGCGGGG
rnacentral:rRNA from 1 species